UACAGAGGUCUCAAGCGUUGUUCGGAUUCAUUGGGCGUAAAGGGUGCGUAGGCGGCGCGGUAAGUCGGGUGUGAAAUCUCGGAGCUUAACUCCGAAACUGCAUUCGAUACUGCCGUGCUUGAGGACUGGAGAGGAGACUGGAAUUUACGGUGUAGCGGUGAAAUGCGUAGAUAUCGUAAGGAAGACCAGUGGCGAAGGCGGGGCUCUGGGCAAUUCCUGACGCUGAGGCGCGAAAGCGUGGGGAGCAAACGGG
rnacentral:rRNA from 1 species